AGAAAAUCGUUCUCGUAUUAUUUCUUAUUUGAAAGAAUUGGAUGAGAAUAGUUCUGUUGCAGCUGGAAAUUCAGCAUCAAACAUCACAGAUAGUACAACUGCAGUUGCUGACAACGAUCAUCCAAGUUGUACAAGCUCCACAGCAGUAGCAGCUUCUGGUCAUUCCUUCACACCAGUGACAGGAAGAAUGAG